rnacentral:lncRNA from 1 species
CUGGGAUUACAGGCGCCUGCCACCACACCCAGCUAAUUUUUGUAUUUUUAGUAGAGACAGGGUUUCACUGUGUUGGCCAGGCUGGUCUCGAACUCCUGACCUCAUGAUGCACCUGCCUCAGCCUCCUAAAGUGCUGAGAUUCCAAGUGUGAGCCACCACGCCUGGCCUUCUUUUUUAUUUUCUUAUUUUUGAGAAAGGAUCUCACUCUGUCAACCAAGCUGGAGUGCAGAGGUGCCAUGAUGGCUCAACCGCAGCCUCGACCUCCUGGGCUCAGUUGAUCUUCCCAAGUAGCAGGGAAUGGAGUCAUGUGCCACCAUGCCCAGCUACUUUUUGUAUUUUUUUUAUAGAGAUGGGAUUUCACCAUGUUGCUCAGGCUGGUGGCCAACUUCUUAGCUCAAGUUAUCUGCCCACCUCGGCCUUCCAAAGUGCUGGGAUUACAGGCAUGAGCCACUGCACCUGGCCCUGGACUGUCUUCUUAAUGCCCCAGAAGGUGACUAGCAGAAUAGAAAUGUUCUUAUGCCGGCUGGGCACAGUGGCUCACACCUUGUCAUCCCAGCACUUUGGGAGGCUGAGGCAGGCGGAUCAUGAAGUCAGGAGAUCAAGACCAUCCUGGCUAACAUGGUGAAACCCCAUUUCUACUAAAAAUCCAAAAAAUUAGCUGGGCAUGGUGGAGGGCACCUGUAGUCCCAGCUACUAGGGAGGCUGAGGGAGGAGAAUGGCGUGAACCUGGGAGGCGGAGCUUGCAGUGAGCUGAGAUCGUGCCACUGCACUCCAGCCUGGGCGACAGAGCGAGACUCCAUCUCAAAAAAAAAAAAAAAAAAAAGGUCCUUAUGGCAAAGUCUGAAGAUUUUUAAGUAUCUCAAGAAAGGAGUUUUUUGUUGCAAGUUCAAAGCAGUAGAAAAAAUGAAGAAAUAUAGCUUCCUCUUAUCAAAAUGACCUGCAGAAGUUUGAAAAACUCUUCCAUCUCCCCAUCCCAUGGAAGGCAUCUUCAACAGUCCUGUUCCAUUUAUAGACUCUGUAGAAGGAACAGUUCUUAUAACAUGAUGCCAAAAUUAUUCUAGUUCACACACAAACAAGUUGUCCUGUAAUUCUGCUGUGGGCCUCCUCAUAUUAGGAAGAAAUUAAGAAAAAUAUAGUACCACCAGUUUGUUAUGCAACCACUUCGAAAAUGUUUACUUUGCUUAAAAUGUCAUGGCUAAAGAAACUACUCGUCUGCAUAAUCCACUCUUGACAGUGAUUCAUAACUGUGUGACAUUUGGGCUUGGUCAGGCUUUACUCCAGUCAGAUUGAGUCUUUCCUUAAAAAGGGGAUAUAUUUUCAAUUUCAGAGUAUUUACUGCUUCAUGACAAAUAUUAAUAACAAGUCUGUGGCUUCGAGGCCUCAUACCUUUGAGACUACCACAGUCUACUUAGCAUUUUUUUUUUUUUUUACUUAGACCUUUUGAAUUUGCUUUUAAUUUAUACCCCUGGCCUUGUUCUCUUGACCAAAUAAAAGCCCUAAGAGAGCUUCCACUGCCAGCAGCCUUCCAAUUUGCUCUGUUCCCCCUUGGGCCCUGUUGAUUGGGCCCAGUGAUCACCUAAAAAGAGUGCAAAGAGUCAGGAAGGCUUGUGGGUUCAGUCUUUCUGUGCUAACACCAGGCCACAUCCAGGCCUGAUGUACUAACUGAUCUCCAGUUCAUUCCUUUUGCAAUUUUUGGCCUUGAUUCAUAGUUCCUGAUUCUUGAUUGGCUCUGAAAUCCUCCCCAUUUUCAAAAGGGAUGCAGUCAAGCAGGCCAAAGCGCUCCAUGUUAGCUAACAAAUGUUUGCAAAUCAUAAUAAUGUAGGAAGAGAACCAUAAACUAAAUGAACAACAGGCAUUAGCCCUCAUGCUGUCACAUAAGCAUUCCUCAAAAUAUAAUCAUGCUUCUAAACAUGGGCUGGCAAUUCAGGAAAGGGCCACUGAAAAUAUUAGCCUCGUUCUUUUCUCUGUAGAGUGAGCACAGACUAUUCCUAAACCACAUUGCAGUAUGCCAACAUUGUAAAUUAAUGCCUGAUUGGUUACCUAGAAGUAAGACAAUCUUACUUUUAGGCAUCUAGAACACUGAGAAAUCCAGGAUGGACACUUAACACUACCAAAGAUUGAUCUAUUUUGGGUAAGUAUACUUCUGAUCUCUUUUUGAGGACUGUAUUAGUCCAUUUUCACACUGCUAUAAAGAACUGCCUGAGGCUGGGUAAAUUAUAAAGGAAAGAGGUUUCAUUGACUCAGAGUUCUGCAUGGCUGGGGAGGCCUCAGGAAACUUAACAGUUAUGGCAGAAGGCAAGGGAGAAGCAGGUACCUUCUUUACAAGGCGGCAGAAGAGACAGAGAGGGCAGGGGAAACUGCCAUUUUUAAGCUAUCAGAUCUUGUCAGAACUCCGUCACUAUCACGAGAAGAGCAUGAGGGAAACUGCCCCCAUGACCCAAUCACCUCCCACCAUCCCCCGCUCAACACGUGGGGAUGACAAUUCAAGAUGGAAUUGUGUGGGGACACAGAGCCAAACCAUAUCAAGUACCUACAAAAUUAUGGUGACUCUUCACUAAUUUGCAAACUGAUUAUCUGCAAAUCUUAAAUAGGGAAUAAAACACAAAAAUAUCAUUAUCCCUCCAGAACUGAGGACGCAAAUUGGAUUUAGAAGACUUAGCUUUGACACCUAGAUAUGUUUUCAUUGAUUUGACCUAACUUGAUCUCAGUUUCUCUUUUAUAGAGUUAGUUCUUUAGAUCAGAGGUCCCCAACCCCAGGACUGCGGACUGCCACUGGUCUUUGGCCUGUCAGGCACCCGGCCACACAGCUGGAGUGUGAAAAAAAAGGAAAAAACUGAAAAUCUCAAGAGGAUUCCAGGAAAUCAAAACAAUGAAUUAUUGAAUCAAGAAUUUGAAAGAGAAAAUAGAUGCAUACUGAAAAAAGAAUUUUGUUUAGUGAGAUAGAUGUAAUAAUGAAGGCAUGUUGAUAACGGGGGAGCUAUGUAUAUAUGAGGGGAGGGAUAUAUUGGAAAUCUCUGUAUCUUCCUCUCAAUCUUGCUGUGAUCCUAAAACUGCUCUAAAAAAUAUUUUGAGAAGGAAUAAUGAUGUGGUAAACAUGUUCUGUUAUUUAAAAAGAGAGACUUUUCAUAGCCGCCUCCCUCCCCCUCUACACACACACAGAGUCCUGUCCGUCUUCAUUCCCUUACUCAAUAAUUUGUACAGACACAGCCACUGGGCUCCAGUAAUCCUAAAGUUUCUAGAAAAUCAAGCACAGAAAAAGGUUAAAACCCUGAGGGAAUAAAAGAAUUCCUUUGCAUCCAUUGCAUUUCUCAGGAAGUGAACUAACAAAUUCACUGCUUUUAAAUGAGGAAAUUUUCUCAGUGAAAUUGAUUCCAAACCUUCGUUAGGUCAACUGUUCCCAGAUUUCUUAGCUGAUGCCUGAUCUGACUAUUCCUUAUCUUUAGUACAGAAACCAAGGUGAAUGACCUUUAAAAAACAUAUUAGACUGUUGACGUGUCUUCUAUGUUGUACUCUAGGUAAAAACGAUAAACCAGGAAAAAGAAAGUAAAAUUCAACCUUAGGCUCAUGGAUCCAGAGUGGAUAAUUAUGAGUCUGUAGUAUCUACAUGCAUGUGAUGAGGUUCAAGGACAAUAACCAUAAAGCAAAGACUUAAAAGGUUUUAUCAUUAGAAUAAUUGUAAUUCACUUGAUCUCUCAAUGUAACAAUACUUCGGUCUACUGUCUCAAGCCAUUAUUAUGUCUUACACUCAGCAUAUUGGUUUGUCUACCAUUAAAUAUUUAUUUUCUACAGUGCUUUCUGGAAGGCAAACAAAGCAGCCACUCUGCUACUUUAUAUUGAUUCCUGAGUUGUCCUUCGGAAACGCUUUCAGGAAGUUUAAUAGGUUUGAAAGAUAUUUAGACCUGUGACUGGCAAAUAUACUUCCUUCUUUUUAUUUCAAUAAGAGAGUACUAGAACUUAGAUCUUUAUUGUUUAAUCUAGUCAGUGCUGUCAUUGUCAAUCAAGUUCUCAAAUGACACUUGUCCUGAGCUGUAACUGAUCUAUUCAGAAGAAUAUGAAAAUAGUAAAGACGGCAACUAUGCAUGUUUUUACCGGACACGAUUUUAAUUGCUUUAAAAUGAAGUUAUGCAACCAAUGAGGAAUGGAGCUUUUGGAGUGGCCUGAAGCUAAAGGUUUCAGGUGUAUUUUUGCUUUCUUUGAAGAAAGAACCAAAUCAUUUUAUUUAAUAAAAAGGCCAUUUAUCAAGAAUUUCUUAAAGCUGUUUUAAACCUGAGUUUGCAAUUUAUAGAAUAUGUUCAAGCAGCCUCAGUGCCCUUUUAAUUGGAUGGUUUUCACAGAUUUAUCCAAUUUGAGAUUUAUCCAGUGAGAAUUCCCUUUGUUCAAGUAUAUAUGUCUUCUCUUCCAUAAAGCAGAUUCAAAUGAAAGAGUGCAAUCUGAUAUAUCAGACAUGUCAGUUAUACAUUUGAUGUGGUAAAUUUAUAAGAGAGGCCAAUUAUUGUUAUGAAAAAAUACAAUGAAAUACAUGAUAGUCAUUUACUGUUUUUAUAACUAAUCUAAAAGUAUUUACUAAAAAGAAACUAUUUCUUUUCAUAUGUACUUUACUUUUUACUUUAACCCUUCAUAUGUCCUUUAAAUAAAGAGAAGAAAAAAAGUCAUUUAUAUUUAUCCACAUAUUUUCUAUUUCAGGUGGUCCUCAUUCAUUCUUGUAGAUCCAAGUUACCAUCUGUUAUUAUUUUCUUUGUCACCUGAAGAAUUUUCAGAACUAUUUCUUCCUAUAUGUAGCAUGUAUAGAUACUCUAAAAAGUCCAUUAUAUGAUGUAUAAAACAAAGCAUACAAUGUAGUCUCUGCCCUAAUUAUUUGUAAUUUAUAUAAAACCUUUUAUUUUUUAUUUUUAAUUGUUUAUUUUAUUUUGUUUUGUUUUAUGUUUUUGAGAUAGAGUCUUGCUCUUUUGCCCAGACUGGAGUGCAAUAGCGUGGUCUUGGCUCACUGCAACCUCUGCCUCCCAGGUUCAAGUGAUUCUCCUGCCUCAGCUUCUCCAUUAGCUGGGAUUACAGGCAGC